UUCGCAAUGCCCGAAAGGGUGACGAAGCGACGCCGCGUGUGGGAAGAAGGCCUUCGGGUUGUAAACCACUGUCGGGAGUUAAGAAAUGCAAGGAUAUUAAUAGUGUCUUUGUUUGACUAAGGCUCCGGAGGAAGCCACGGCUAACUCUGUGCCAGCAGCCGCGGUAAUACAGAGGCGGCAAGCGUUGUUCGGAAUUAUUGGGCGUAAAGAGCACGUAGGCGGCUAUGUAAGUCGGUUGUGAAAGCCUUCCGCUCAACGGAAGAACAGCAUCCGAUACUACAUGGCUUGAGUGCGGGAGGGGAGAGUGGAACUUCUGGUGGAGCGGUGAAAUGCGUAGAUACCAGAAGGAACACCGGCGGCGAAGGCGACUCUCUGGUCCAUAACUGACGCUGAGUGUGCGAAAGCUAGGGGAGCAAACGGGAUUAGAUACCCCGGUAGUCCUAGCCGUAAACGAUGGGCACUAAGUAGAGGGGUUUU
rnacentral:rRNA from 1 species